UGCCAGCAGCCGCGGUAAUACGGAGGUUGCAAGCGUUGUUCGGAAUAACUGGGCGUAAAGGGAGCGCAGGCGGUUUGAUCAGUCUGAAGUGGAAGCCCGGGGCUCAACCCCGGAAGGCCUUUGGAUACUGUCAAACUUGAGUUCGUGAGAGGAAAGUGGAAUUCCAGGUGUAGCGGUGAAAUGCGUAGAUAUCUGGAGGAACAUCGAUGGCGAAAGCAACUUUCUGGCACGAUACUGACGCUGAGGCUCGAAAGCGUGGGGAGCGAACAGGAUUAGAUA
rnacentral:rRNA from 1 species